UACCAGUGGAUUUUAUGGAAGGGGAUUCCCCUUCCAAACAAUGACUCUCUCUCCAUCCCUCCUCUCCACAUCCGCAUACACAGAUCCAGAUCAUCAACCUCAAGAACUUGCGAGCCACUUUCUGAGAUGUUGUCUUGAAGUGCUCGGACUGCGGGGACAAGCAGAGUGAGUGACCCAGAGCCACAUGCCACACACCUAGAUGCCACCCCCCAGAUGCUUCAGGUUCAACUACUCUCCUGUUUGGCUGCAUGACAGAUGUAAUCAACGUCCCCGAACUGUUGAAUUCGUGACACCGCCUAUCAUGAGUUUAUUAUACAAGAGAGACAUGGAGAUUAUUUGCAUGGUGACAGAUUUCAGAACGUCAGUGGGACGGGCAGCUUCACACGGUGCCAUUUCAAUAGUGGGUUCCUCUAGUCCACAUACUUCCCAAGAAUGCCACCGUCUCGAAAUAAGAAACCACCCUUAUCAUCUGGAACUACGUUGGUGCCCCAUGUCCAGGGAGAAGGGCUUUCUCUCCAGCUCUCACACUCACUGGUUCGAUCUCUCCACCCUCUCCCUUCGAGCCGGACCCAACAGCUACGACUGUUGCCUGCAGGACUUUUCCUUGAGGUCUUUCUGGAAGCAUCAUGCCUCCUUUGGUUACAGUUUCAGCAACACUUCUGUCCACCAGUACUCGGUCAAAGAGGGGAAGAAACUUUCGAAAUGCCUGUCCUGCCAUGAUGCUGAGUGGCCGCAGCCAGUACUCCUCUCACGCUACGCCGCUGCCUUGGUUCCCUUGACGACUUAGCCAAUGUUCUUAAACUGUUUUUGAAAUACUGACUCCAGAGUUGGCAGUGGCUGGUGGUGAGGAGCCAAGAGCUAGCACAUGCCAAGCGCCUAGCACGGAGCCCUAAGGUGCCAAAAGGGAGCAGGGAAUGGUGACUUAUCCUGAGUUGGGCUGCAAAUCACAUGGUCAGAAGUUUGAAACCACCAGUUGUUCCACAGGAGAAAGAUGAGGCUUUCCACUCCUGUAAAGAGCUGCAGUCUCAGAAACCCACAAGGAUGGUUCUCAUCUGUCCCGUGGGGUUUUGCUAUGAGUCACAAUUGACUGCAUGGCAGUGAGUUCGUUCAAUUUGCCUUCCAGAAUUCAGCAGUCCAGAAUUUCCCUGCAACGGUCACCGUGGGAUAGUGCGGUAGUUCCAUAACCUGCUGUCAAUUUGAGACUAUUAGGAGUGAAGGGGUGGAGUCUACCCUGUCAAUCAGGCCGCAGCUUGAUGAU